ACAGCAGCAGCCGCGGUAAUACAGAGGAUGCAAGCGUUAUCCGGAAUGAUUGGGCGUAAAGCGUCGGUAGGUGGCUUUUCAAGUCCGCCGUCAAAUCCCAGGGCUCAACCCUGGACAGGCGGUGGAAACUACUAAGCUGGAGUACGGUAGGGGCAGAGGGAAUUUCCGGUGGAGCGGUGAAAUGCGUUGAGAUCGGAACGAACACCAACGGCGAAAGCACUCUGCUGGGCCGACACUGACACUGAGAGACGAAAGCUAGGGGAGCAAAUGGGAUUAGAUACCCGCGUAGUCCCUGUCUCUUAUAC
rnacentral:rRNA from 1 species